rnacentral:rRNA from 1 species
GAUGAACGCUGGCGGCGUGCUUAACACAUGCAAGUCGAACGAUGAAGCCCAGCUUGCUGGGUGGAUUAGUGGCGAACGGGUGAGUAACACGUGAGUAACCUGCCCUUAACUCUGGGAUAAGCCUGGGAAACUGGGUCUAAUACCGGAUAGGAGCGUCCACCGCAUGGUGGGUGUUGGAAAGAUUUAUCGGUUUUGGAUGGACUCGCGGCCUAUCAGCUUGUUGGUGGGGUAAUGGCUCACCAAGGCGACGACGGGUAGCCGGCCUGAGAGGGUGACCGGCCACACUGGGACUGAGACACGGCCCAGACUCCUACGGGAGGCAGCAGUGGGGAAUAUUGCACAAUGGGCGGAAGCCUGACGCAGCGACGCCGCGUGAGGGAUGACGGCCUUCGGGUUGUAAACCUCUUUCAGUAGGGAAGAAGCGAAAGUGACGGUACCUGCAGAAGAAGCACCGGCUAACUACGUG